rnacentral:lncRNA from 1 species
GUAAGGUGACGCUGUUGCCCGAUUCAUUUGGAUUGACAGGAAUACCAUCAAGUAAGCCAAGGUGCGCCGGGAACCAAUAAAUCUGCGGCGGUAAUCAGCGCACAGAGAAGACUGCCCAAGUUCAACUUCAGACCGCAGCCCAGCCGUUUCCGCUAUGACGUAAAUGCGCAAGCCGGAGGUCGCAACCCGCGCAACUUCGCAGGCGGCGCCGAAGUGCGUGGAGAGUACGACGUCUACCGUGCCAAUAACGGCGCCAAAGUUGUUCUGGGCGGCGGUGUCUCCCAGGACGUCCUGCGGCACGAAGGAAAGACGUACAAGGGCAAGCCAGAGGCUAACGUGGGCGUCGGAGUAGAGAUACCCAUCGGGAAAUGAAACACAGCUGUCUUGAUAAAGUAAUAAAUAACACCGCCGCGCCAACGCUAUUACACAGUCAGCGAGACAUUGUGGUUGUAUAGGUUGUGUGAC